AAACUUACCAGGUCAAGACAUGGGCGUGAUUGACAGGCUAAUGACUUUUCUCGAUUCCAUGGAUGUUGGUGCAUGGUCGCACUUAGUUGGUGCAGUGAUUUGUCAGGUUUAUUCCGGUAACGAACGAGACCUCGGCCUUGUAAAUAGCUAUGCUGCUUACAGGGACAUUGGCGGCUACGCCAAGGAAGCUCGAGGCAAUUGCAGAUCUGGAAUGCCCUUAGAUGUCCUGGGUCGCACGCGUGCUACAAUGACGCCACGAACGAGCUUGCGUGAUGAAAGUUACGCAUAAUCAGCAGUCGGCGUCUUAAGGGAUAGUCUCUUGUAACUGUGGGACUCCAACUAGGAAUGUCUCGUAAGCACAAGUCAACAUCUUGUGUUGAUUACGUCCCUGCUCUUUGUACACACCGCCCGUCGCUCCUACCGAUCGAGUGUUUAGGUGAAUUUGAUGGACGUAAGGAAGUCAAAUAAACCUGAGCACUAGAGAAGAGAAGUCGAGCAUC
rnacentral:rRNA from 1 species